rnacentral:rRNA from 1 species
AGCAGUUCGGCUGGGCACUCUAAAGGGACUGCCGGUGUUAAACCGGAGGAAGGUGGGGAUGACGUCAAGUCCUCAUGGCCUUUAUGACCAGGGCUACACACGUACUACAAUGGCCGAUACAAAGGGCAGCGACACUGCGAGGUGAAGCCAAUCCCGUAAAAUCGGUCUCAGUCCGGAUUGGAGUCUGCAACUCGACUCCAUGAAGUUGGAAUCGCUAGUAAUCGUGGAUCAGCAUGCCGCGGUGAAUACGUUCCCGGGCCUU